CUGGAGGAGUUCAUGUGAUGCUUCCCCAGGCACAUGCGCCAGAGCGAGAUUUGGUUGAGGGGGCUGGAAGUCAUUUUACGCCAUGAAACAGUGGGCAGCUGUUAGGAUCCAUUCCUCGUGGAUCAAUGAACCUCCACAGCCGUGCAUGUAAGGGAUGGGAGACAUCGGCGAAGCCUGCGGAGGAAACAAUAUAUGUCCAUACAGCUGGACCUUGUUACCUGCAUGGAGACUUGCCAAGGCCAGGAGUGAGGUACUGC